AACGAACGCUGGCGGCGCGCCUAAUACAUGCAAGUCGAGCGAGAAGACGUAGCAAUACGUUUGUAAAGCGGCGAACGGGUGAGGAAUACAUGGGUAACCUACCCUCGAGUGGGGAAUAACUAGCCGAAAGGUUAGCUAAUACCGCGUACGCUCCUUGGACUUCGGUUCAGGGAGGAAAGCGAUACCGUGGGUAUCGCGCUCUUGGAUGGGCUCAUGUCCUAUCAGCUUGUUGGUGAGGAACGGCUCACCAAGGCUUCGACGGGUAGCUGGUCUGAGAGGACGAUCAGCCACACUGGCACUGCGACACGGGCCAGACUCCUACGGGAGGCAGCAGUAAGGAAUAUUGCGCAAUGGGCGAAAGCCUGACGCAGCGA
rnacentral:rRNA from 1 species